rnacentral:rRNA from 1 species
GACGAACGCUGGCGGCGUGCCUAAUACAUGCAAGUUGAGCGCUGAAGGUUGGUACUUGUACCAACUGGAUGAGCAGCGAACGGGUGAGUAACGCGUGGGGAAUCUGCCUUUGAGCGGGGGACAACAUUUGGAAACGAAUGCUAAUACCGCAUAAAAACUUUAAACACAAGUUUUAAGUUUGAAAGAUGCAAUUGCAUCACUCAAAGAUGAUCCCGCGUUGUAUUAGCUAGUUGGUGAGGUAAAGGCUCACCAAGGCGAUGAUACAUAGCCGACCUGAGAGGGUGAUCGGCCACAUUGGGACUGAGACACGGCCCAAACUCCUAUGGGAGGCAGCAGUAGGGAAUCUUCGGCAAUGGACGAAAGUCUGACCGAGCAACGCCGCGUGAGUGAAGAAGGUUUUCGGAUCGUAAAACUCUGUUGGUAGAGAAGAACGUUGGUGAGAGUGGAAAGCGCAUCAAGUGACGGUAACUACCCAGAAAGGGACGGCUAACUACGUG